GGAACCGCAGGCGGGAGCUUGGCAGAGCACGCAGAGUCUGUGAGCGCAGAGUGCUCCCAGCUGGGCUCUAGCCGUGCUAACGAGACGGGGACGGAAUGCCAAAGCUGCCGAGGUUCUGAACAGCCAUGAGCCCACAGGCUGCUGGGCUGCGAGCAGCCAUGGGUGCGUGAACUCACACGUCACACAGCGGUACCUCGUGCAGCCGGGAUCACGUACCCGAUAGCGCACAGUGACCGCACGGACAGCGCAGCACUUAGAGCCGGCCCGCCCUGCGUGCACGUGCUGGGGGCUGCGCGCCUGCGCACUGUGCCGGCCUCGUGCCGCGGCCGUUAUUGCCUCGGCGGGCGCCGGGAGCGGAGCGCGAUGCGGGGUGAGGAGAGGAGGGGAAAGGAACGGAACGGAACGGAACGGAACGAGGGCUCCGGAGCGAGCAGGAAUGCCUACCAAGUGUAAAACGGUGCUUUGUCAAUUAAAAUGACUUCACCAUUACAGGAAGAAAGGCGAACAUUUUCUACCUCAUUAAACAAAUUCAAAGGAGAGUAAGGAGGUCUUAAGAAACACAAACCUUCACUUGUGCUAAAUCCAGUGCUUUUAAAGGUCAUCUGCAGCUCGGUCACUAUAGUAAGUAUUUUGUUUUCACUUCUUUUAUUUUUAACUUUCCGUUCUAAUCUGCAACACUCCUCCUGUGAACUGACCUAUUUACUUUGCUGCAGUUUUGCUUUUUGGAUGCUGCCAGCAGAGCAGUCUGGUCAGACACCUAUGUUCGAAGCCCAACAUUUCUGCUACAGUAUUCUGAGAAUGUACAAGUGCAGAUAACUCUACAAACUCAAGUGAGCUUUAAUGACAGCAGGAGUAUUUAGACCAGCCUUCCUCUAUCAUCACAAGCUAUUAAAAGCACGGAUAGUGCUGGCUGCUCUAAUGGUUACAAUAAAAGGCUGGUUCAAAGAAACUCAUUUUCUGCUGACAGAAAUUCCAUCCCCAUUAAAACAAUCUGUGAUAGAGUCUUUAAAAGGUAAUCCCGAUGGGUGAGUCUUCAUUGAGCUGAACUGUUAUGUCAUCUGUGGAUUUCCUUUAUUGUACUUUAUGCCUUUUUAUAAAAAUUUAACUUUGGAAAAGUUGUCCCUUGUCCAUGUACAAAAGUUGUACGUAGAAAUGUGCUUUGUAUGAGAUGCAGCCGUUCUAGUUACAGGCAUCACUUCUUUUGUGACUUCUGUGAUACGAUCUGUACAAUUUCUAUUGCUUAUGCAGCUGUAGUUAUUUAAGGAUAACUGCAUCUAAAGGGACAGUGCAGUCUGUGACUGUACCUUUAACUGGUACAGUUAUUUCCUGCUGUCAGGACUGGUGUGGCUGAAGUCAUGCAACUAUGUUUAAACAAAGGGGAUGGGAGACCAGUGUCAUGCUGAACUGGCAAGCUGCGCAGUAACCAAUUUCAGCUUUUAUGGUCCAGUACUAAAGGUUGUAUUUAUUAAUAGCUCCACAUUUUUGCUCCCGCAUGUUGUGGCCAAAUAUUGGAUAUUAGCAAGAAGUAGAACACACUAAACUAACAGUAUUACUUCUCCUCCAUUAUUUCUAGCAACCUUCCCUCAGUGUAAGAAAUCUCUACACUCCUACUUUAGCUUGGGCUGCUGAUUGGCUAAAAACAAACAAAAACCAGACAAAACCCCCAAACCAACACAAAGCCAAGAAAUAAGUGUCAUGUUUGCCACCUUCUGUUCUUUUGGUGCUACAGUAAUUUCAGGAAAUGGUUUUGAUUUGCACUAUGCAGGAGGUUUAAGUCACGAUUAAAACAAUGUCUGUUUUUUAGUUACAUGUUUUAAUAGUACUGCUUUGGGCAUGUUGGUGGGAAGUUGCAUGACACCACAUGCUGAAUGACUCAUUUAUAUAUCAGAACAAAUUCAGUAGCCUACAGAAAAAAAGCAAAACCACCUGCUUUCAUCUCGUCAGCUACUUAAGAUCGGAUUAACAGCGACAGAACAGCACUUUUCACCAUAGGCCACAUUUUCACAUCGUGAAGGACUAAACACCCCAAAGUAUGUAAGUAAGUGGAAGAUUUUCAGGUAAACUGAAGAGUGCAACUUAGACUUCCAAUUUUUGUAUCCUAUAGUUCCUUUUUUUCCUCAAAUCGCUAAGUGCAAGCUUUGUCUUAUUGAAAAAUGCCAAGAGAUGUCAUCUCUUUCAAUAUUUUUAUUAACACUUCUGGGGUGCUCCCUUUGCCUAAUGGAUCACAUCACCUUUCUGACUAAAUACAUUUAGGAGGAAGAAUUUGGAAGCGCUAACAAAUGGCUUUCUUAAAAGCUAGUGCAGUGCUAGAAUAAAACUUGAUUCCAGUCCUGUCCUGUGCACGAAUGCUCCUUGAAAUGUCAGCUUUAAGUGCCUUUUACAACAGUGGAAGUCAGCUUGUUUUAACUAGUAGUGGUAUAAACAAUGGUUAUAAACUUUUUCCUGUUACUACUGUAGUUGAAUUAAGCAUAAAAAUGAAAACACCAAACUGAUCUAAAACACCCUUGAAAGGAGUGCCUGCAGGAAAUUUAAAUGCACUAUUAUUUACAAAACUAGGGAAAGCUGCUCACACUUGUUCAGAGAAUAACUCAAGUCCAUAAAGAAAAUAAAAUCCUUAAAGUUGAUUCCACAAACACUCACUUGUCGCUGGAUAUGCUGCAGUCAAUAACGGUUCUCUUGCUAGUGUUGACAAUUAAGAAAGGCAGCUGUAUUGUGGAGUUGGAGGCUGGGGGGCCUUGAUUUUGUUGUUCAUUUUGCCGAUUUCUUUGUACCAAGUUUUUGAAUGCUAUUUGCUGUGGAAAGAAAGGAAAAGCAGUCACUGAAUGUAGACAUCAGUGCUUCCAGGAACUGGAACUUCAUGGCUCUUCUCUACCAGCUCUCAAUGCCUCCAAUAACAUUUUGAAAGGGAGGGGUGUUAUGUUGCACAGGCAGACCCGGCUCCAGUGCUAUCGAAAAUUUUGAAUGUAUUUAAAGAAAACAUAACAAUAAAAAAUGACAGAAGAAAAAGCAGAAAAGAAUAGCAGAAGAUUAAAAAAAGAAAACAACAGGACAGCAAAGAAAAAGAAACAGAAAACCCUCCUAAAACCUGCGCAGUUACUCGAGUCAUCACUGGUAGGCAAACAAAUAAAACACGCUGAACGCAUUCCAUGUUGGUUGUAGCAACCAACUAACUGGUUGCAAGAGUUUGUCCCACUGAAAGCUGCGAAAGCGAACUGAAAAUUCUUGUUUCUGAAGAUGUGUUGUGGUUUUCUCUCUUUUUUACAGCUCCAGUUUGGUCUGUAGCAGUAAAUGUAAAUAUAUCAGAAAUAAAUAUAAAUAAUAAGCAAAUGUUAAUGAUAGGAAGUGAUACAGCAAAGGGUAACGAAUUGUAACUACAAAGAAUAACACACUGCACAGCUUUUAGUGGGGAGAAGGGACAGCUCACUAAAGUGGAGACUAGACAGCCAGCUCUCUGAAGGGCUCUGAAGGUAAAUUAAGUUCAGUAAUACUCACCUUUCUGAAAAAUCCGAUUCUAUAAAUUCUCGAGUUCGUUUUCUUUCCCUAGGAGAAGACAAUUCAAGCUUACUUAUGAUAAAAAAAAAAGUUAUUUUAACAAUAAAAUAAAUGUAUUUGGUGCCUAGCUGAACAAUGAGAUGUUCAGCGCUUACUGAAGGAAGAAGACAGCACACAGUGUGACAGAAUCUGAAAGAAAAUGGUAAGGACUUUGGAGGUUGUCUGAGCAGGUAAAUAAUACCUAAAUAAAGUGCUUUCCAACAGUGCAGAAAACAGAUCCUGUAUUUACUUGAUACUGAAUGUUUUGGUGUCUUUAAACAAAAAACAACACACAAACUAUAAACACACGUACAUAUUAGAGCUGAUGCUAUCGCAGCAGAGAUACUGUGAAGAAGCAGCUGACAUGAGCUUAGCACAGGAGUAGACGUUGCUAAUCAUUGCCAGUUUCCCUGUAGUUUUGUUAUUAGCUGCAUCUUGAAGAUUUCAUAACUUUUAUUACAACCUUGUCUCUUACUCUUGCAGCUGAUAAUGCACAGUGUUUGGGAACCGUCAUAGUAUGCUACUUCAUAUUGCUACUCUGUUAUUCCGAAGCAGUCUUGCAGCAGAUACACGCAGAGCUAAAAAGCUGACAGUGUUAAUGAAGAGAGCUGAACUAAAAUGAUGGCUCUGAAGAUGCUGUGAAAGCCUGCAUGUAUCUGGCUGUGCAAUUCAGAACCUCCAGUCUGACCAGUCCCACCUGCAAAUGUCUUCCUAGCAGCAACAGCAGCAAUUCCUGUCCAUGGUGCUUACCAGAGCAAGGUGGGGCAGGGGCUGCAGCAUUUGCAUGGGACAACAGGGACCUGGAAUGGCAGUGAGUGGAGAGCUGCCCCAGAUCUGUAAAGCCUGGCUGCCUGGGGUUGUAUGGAGAAUGAAUAUGAUCUUAUUUGUCUCUGGAAACAAUUUAGAAUCAGUGAAGAUGAGGUAAACAAUGGGCAAAGCAAGGAGCCGAGGCUUGGAAUCCUCUCAGUAAAGUCUCAAUGCUUAGAUGAGACACUACCAGAGACCCUUCCCACUGCAGUUCUCCAGAGGAAAAUGAGACCUAUAGUACGGUCUUCUGCAGGGAUCAAUAAUCACAGACCAGUCUGGAGAACAUCUAUUUCCUUUUAAUGAGUGAAACAAUAAUUAAGCUCACAGGAAUAACUGUAUCUAAGAUUUUCAAAGUUUACAACCAGAAAGUUGCUGCUUCUCUGUGGUGGUGCUGGUAAAAAUGCACCAGAACUGGCUCAUCCCUCAGUAUCUGCAUCAGUGGGUUUGGCUGAAGCCAAAGGAUGUCAAUGGAAGUUCACUGUCUAGUUGAACAAGCUGUGAGCAGACACUGCUGGCUUUUCCCUCAUCAGGGUAUUGAAAGAACUUACGUCUGGCUGCCACAUUUUACAAAAGCUGCAUUAGUCCUCUCUGACAAAUCAAAACUAAAUGAAUUUAACAACUAUUUGAGGAGAUAAAUAUAUUCAGCAAGAAAACCAAACUUAAAAACUGUGUAGCUGUUUCCACUGUCACACAGGAACAGACGCUUCCAUAAAACAAAACUAAAACAGUGAAGUGAGUACUGUGUGCAGCUCUGUGUUCAUGUGCUUAAGAAAUCAGAAGCACUUCAUAUGGUAAGGAACACAUUAACUGUGGAAGAACUGGAAACUGUGAGCCAAUAUAGCUAGAAUAGCAUAAAUAAAGGAAAAAAAUUCAGAGCAGACAGACAAACAUCAAUAAAUAAGCCAAAAUCUUACCCUGGAAUCCAGCCAGUAGCUUCUGUUAUGUGUGUCUGCGUCACCAUUGCUGGAGCUGCGUUAUAUGGACUCCCAAUCAGAACACCCCCUGAACUGCUCAGUCUUUGUGAUGUGCUUAUUAUCUACAGUUUAGAAAUUAAAAUAACAAAAAACACAUCGUUGUUGAUAAAAGAGAGGUUAUCACAUGCUAGAAUUCAUGUGAAGGAUGUACCAGAUGUAAAGCAGAUGUAAGCUGAGAAUAAAAUACACUGAAGAAGUGUCAUUAGAUCUUCACACGGGACAGUAAUUACAAUACUGUUAGGUGAGUAGCUCGACAGAGAGAGGCAAGUGGACAAAGAAGUGAAUAUGUGGCUCUGCCAGCACGUGGCAGACAGGUCAGAGAGAAAAGGUUUUGAAUAUUUUGCAUACUGAAAUUCCUUUCAUCAUGUUUCACCCACCCACAGGUUUCACAUUGUUCUGCUCAUGUCUUUUAAAUCCAGAAGAAAAUAUACCAUAAAAAUACCAUCUCAUAUCCGGUGUCCUUAUAAUUUUGAUAACCAGCAUAAUAAACUGAGGUACAAAAUCGUGUUUGUGUAUUUUCAAGACAGACAUCUCUUUCUAUACCAUGGUGCCAUCUAGUGGAAAUAGACAUUUAUGUAGCAUUUUUUUUUUCUUAAUAUGCCUUUGACUACCAGUUGCAGUGUCAGCUGGUGAAGUUGUUUCCAUUUCCAGUCAGAGCCAGAAAGAUAACAGGAGCAGUAAUCCUGACAUGUCAUCACCUUCCCAUCCAUGUGGGAUACUUCAGGCUUACAGCCAAAGCUCUGACUUCUAGCAAGGCCCACAUCUUCACUUUUCCCGUGUUCCCAUAUUAUGUAAAUAGGAAGUUACGUAUCUAGUUGCACAAGUUUGCAUUGCUCUCAUCACAAAACUUACCAU